rnacentral:lncRNA from 1 species
CCCGCACACGCAUACUCACAGAACUCCGCUGCAGAAAUUCAGUCCCCCGGCCCCACCUCUUUUGCCCCCAGUCCAGCUUCCAGGACUCCCCGGGCAUCGGACUCUGCCCAUCCACCCAUUCUGAGCUCUCCUCUCUCGGGCCCAGACUGCCAGUCCUUCAGAGAGCGUGGCCGGAACCGUCGGAUUAACAGGCGGGAGAGGGAAGAGUGACCAGCACCUGUAGGCCACCCCCCCACCGUGACAGCUGCACCAGUUCCGAGUCCCGAGCACCAGGUGUCUGGCUGGGCAGCGAGGACGCAGGCGGCAGGGCUCAUCCCAAGGAAUACUCCAGUUCCUCAAACCACAUCUGUUCACCUCCCUCACGAGCAACGUGGAAAGAGACAAAGAUCAGCCCUAAGAAAUCUCCCCAGCCCGUGGAAUUAGAAGAAUCGCAGAAACAGAACGCCAAAACGCCAGAGCUGACAGCGGGAUGCAAACCACCGGGUCCAGUCUCUGUGCUUCCGCGCUGAGGAACCCCAGAAGUGACUCGGGGUUUCCAGAGCACAGACCCAGGGGCGCCCGUGGUCAGGACCGGCUCUGACCACCUGCGUGCUGCCAGGGUAGCCAGGGUCCGGGUGAGCGGGGAGACGGUGCCAGCGAGAGGUGGGUGGGCUCCAGGAGACAGGCACAGCCUGGGUAGGCAGGCGCCCGGCCCGCACACACCUCGGCCACAGCAGGGAAAGAAAGGAGAGAGCAAGGGUGAAAGACGUGUCAGUGCCAGCCACAGCCCACAGCCGGCGUGACAGGGAGGGGGAGGCAUAGGAGAGAGGGGACAAGAAGCAGGGUCGCGACCCUCCCGGCCCCUGCCCUGCCC